GCUUCGGUGGCGCAGCCGGCAGCGCGUAAGUCUCAUAAUCUUAAGGUCGUGAGUUCGAUCCUCACCCGGAGCA